rnacentral:rRNA from 1 species
ACUAAUAGUUCAAUUAAAAUAAUUUGGUUUGGAUAAGUUGUUUAUUAUAAUAUAAAUAAUAUUUUUAGGUGAAGUUUAAAUAUUAAGAAAAAUAAAAUUUUAAUUGAUUCUGUAAAUUAAUGAAUAAACUAGGAUUAGAUACCCUAUUAUAAUAACUUAAAAAUUAUAACCAUAUAAUUAAUAGUUAUGUUCUCUAAAGUAAAAAAAUUUGGCGGUAUUUUAAUCUAUUUAGAGGAACCUGUUCUAUAAUUGAUAAUCCACGAUUAAAUUUACUUAAAUUUAGCUUGCAUAUCGUUGUUUAAAAUAUUCUUUUAGGUUAUAUUUUUAAUUUUAUUUAAAAAUUAAUUCAGAUCAAGGUGCAGCAAUAUUUAAGAAGAAAUGGGUUACUAUAAUAAAAAUUUAGGAUUAAAAUUUGUAAAUUUUAAUGAAUUUGGAUUUAAAAGUAAAUUUUAAUAUAUAUUAAUUUUGACUUAAGCUCUAAAAU